GCAUCAGUGGUUUAGUGGUAAAAUCCAUCGUUGCCAUAAAGGGUUAGUCUAUACUACUAUCCUUUCAACUUCGAUGGGCCCCGUGUUCGAUUCACGGCUGAUGCA
rnacentral:tRNA from 1 species